GUGUCAGCAAAAGCCAAUUGGCUUUUAACCAAUUGGUCGUAGGUUCGAAUCCCACACGACCCACCA
rnacentral:tRNA from 3 species